CACUCGUCUUACAGCAGCAACGACAACAGCAGAGAGAAGAAGCCAUCAGGCAAGUGUUAUUUUAAUAAAGUCCUGGUGUACUUACAAACUUUCCAAUCCAUUGUUUUAUGAGUACAUAACAUUUUUGUACUACUGUAGAAGUUUGGUACCAUUUUGGGCAUCAUUAGUAGGGUAAUUUAACGAGAUACACACUUGGUUCCAUCAGUGCCUGCACUAAGGUGUGCUGCUGAUAAUGCUAACUCUCCCAAUGUUAGACCAAAGGAAAAAAGCUUCUAGGGGGGUUGUUUGGCUCGAGGUCAGGGUGCAAAGGACCCUAGGGUGAAAUUACUAUGAACCAUCCCUUUAAAUACA